rnacentral:rRNA from 1 species
GUCGAGCAAGGAUGAAAAUCGGACUUAGUGAUCCGGUGGUUCUGCGUGGAAGGGCCAUCGCUCAACGGAUAAAAGCUACCCUGGGGAUAACAGGCUUAUCUCCCCCAAGAGUCCACAUCGACGGGGAGGUUUGGCACCUCGAUGUCGGCUCAUCACAUCCUGGGGCUGUAGUAGGUCCCAAGGGUUGGGCUGUUCGCCCAUUAAAGUGGUACGCGAGCUGGGUUCAGAACGUCGUGAGACAGUUCGGUCCCUAUCCGUCGCAGGCGUAGGAAAUUUGAGAAGACCUGGCCUUAGUACGAGAGGACCGGGAUGGACGUACCUCUGGUGUACCAGUUGUCCUGCCAAGGGCAUGGCUGGGUAGCUAUGUACGGAAUGGAUAAGCGCUGAAAGCAUCUAAGCGCGAAGCCAACUUCAAGAUAAGAUUUCCCACCGCAAGGGUAAGACCCCAGAAAGACUAUCUGGUUGAUAGGUCGAAGGUGUAAGUGCAGCAAUGUA